CUUCUGAAGUAAGUAAAAUAUUCAGAUGUCCAGACUCAUGUUGGAAUUUUAAAAGCAAAAUGUCAAGGUGAACCCUGAAUCUGGGAGAUUUUGUCAUCAGUUUCCCAUGUGAUUCCUAUGCACAGCCAGUGGGGAGCCCCCGACCCCACUCAGCAUAACAGUAAGAACAACUGUAACCUCUCCACAGGAAGAAGGCUUUUGCCCUUGUUCAAACAAUGGAGCAGCUCUGUGUGUCCUGCUGGGGCAUCUCCCUGUGGAAGGAGACCAUGGCCGACAUUCAGGAGAGGUUCUCCAGUCACUGUGGGCUUCAGGGUGUGCAUCUUCCCUGUUCCACAGAGAGUCCAGCUUAUGAUGGGGUUUCCUCAGCCUGGAGUGAUCAUGGUGCAUACAGCAAUGAACGUGCAGCUCAAGACCCUAGUGACCUAUUGGGCCCCACCUGAAAAGAGACCAGCACUGUGAAGCAGCUGUCUCCAACAUGCUCCUGGAAAAUUGGGAUGAAGUGGAAGGAAAAUCUAGAAUAUGAUCAGCAAAUUGAGAACAUCAAUAAAGAAAGAGGAUGUAUUAAAAUAUUCAAGCAGAAAUUUGAGUAUUGAUAAGCUUAAUUAACUCAGAAGUUCACUGGAGAUCCCACAACAGGUUUGAACAGGCAGUUGAAAAAAAUCACAAAAUGUGGAGCAGGAUCCAUUGACAUUGCUGAGUCUGAAAUUCAGAAAAACAAAACAAAACCAAAAAACCCAAAAAACAAAUAACAAAAAACUUGGAAUCUUAAAAAGAACCUAGAGUCUAUUCAGAAUAUCAAAAAAGCAUCGACAAACAUAUGAGACUCCCAGAGAUACAAGAAAGAAAAAUGUUAAAAGGUUUAUUUCAAAGAGAAAUAUUGCCUACAAUCUUAAAUAUGAUCAAGUAUAUGAAUGUUCUAAUCCCAGAUACUGAACAAACUUCAGGAACCAUCAACGUGAGCCGACCCACACUGAGGCGCAUUGGACACCAAUCUGCUAAAAUUAAAAUAAAGCCGAAUAUACUGAAGCAGAAAGAGAGGAAUGAUCACCAGAUACUGGAGAGCUUCCUGAGGUUUGUAUCAAGUUCUUGAUGAUGGGAGUCAGAGGCAGUAAGAUGACUGAUCUAAAGUGUUGAAUAAAAAUAUAUCUAGAAUUCUAUACCUGGCACAACUGUCCUUCCAACAUAAAUGAGAAAUGAAGAUAUUUCCAGAUAAUGAAAAAUGAGUAUGGCACUAACUCUAGAAAUGUCCCACAGGAAAUUUGAAGGGAGAUCAUGAGGUUGAAAUGAAAGUAUUGUAGAUAA